UUCUUGGAUAUGUGUUGCUAA
rnacentral:piRNA from 1 species